rnacentral:rRNA from 1 species
GACAAACGCUGGCGGCGUGCUUAACACAUGCAAGUCGAACGGUACUCCUACGGGAGUAUAGUGGCGGACGGGUGAGUAACACGUAGUCAACCUACCCUAAAGUGGGGAAUAACCCCUCGAAAGAGGAGCUAAUACCGCAUACGCUCUUUGGUGAUAGCUAGAGAGGAAACGAUAGCUGUGACAGGCUAUGGGCUUUAGGAUGGGACUGCGGCGGAUUAGCUAGAUGGUGGGGUAACGGCCUACCAUGGCGACGAUCCGUAGCUGGUCUGAGAGGACGACCAGCCACACUGGGACUGAGACACGGCCCAGACUCCUACGGGAGGCAGCAGUGAGGAAUAUUCCACAAUGGGCGCAAGCCUGAUGGAGCGACGCCGCGU